UUUUAUGGAGAGUUUGAUCCUGGCUCAGGAUGAACGCUGGCGGCGUGCCUAAUACAUGCAAGUCGAGCGAACGGACGAGAAGCUUGCUUCUCUGAUGUUAGCGGCGGACG
rnacentral:rRNA from 1 species